rnacentral:rRNA from 1 species
AGUUUGAUCCUGGCUCAGAACGAACGCUGGCGGCAGGCUUAACACAUGCAAGUCGAACGCGUCGCAAGAUGAGUGGCAGACGGGUGAGUAACGCGUGGGAACAUACCCUUUUCUACGGAAUAGCUCUGGGAAACUGGAAUUAAUACCGUAUACGCCCUACGGGGGAAAGAUUUAUCGGGGAAGGAUUGGCCCGCGUUGGAUUAGCUAGUUGGUGGGGUAAAGGCCUACCAAGGCGACGAUCCAUAGCUGGUCUGAGAGGAUGAUCAGCCACAUUGGGACUGAGACACGGCCCAAACUCCUACGGGAGGCAGCAGUGGGGAAUAUUGGACAAUGGGCGCAAGCCUGAUCCAGCCAUGCCGCGUGAGUGAUGAAGGCCUUAGGGUUGUAAAGCUCUUUCACCGAUGAAGAUAAUGACGGUAGUCGGAGAAGAAGCCCCGGCUAACUUCGUGCCAGCAGCCGCGGUAA